rnacentral:tRNA from 1 species
GGGAAGGUGGCUCAGUGGUAUAGUGCUUGCCUUGCAUGCAUGAGGCCCUGGGUUCAAUUCCUCACCAUCACA